rfam:Operophtera brumata OBRT01_Sc03862, whole genome shotgun sequence.
UUAAAGGCUCUUUUCAUAGCCACAUUAAUUAUACCAAAAAGUAACA